CAACAACACACAAGUUGAUUAGUGUGUUGUGAAUUUUGGAAAAAAUAUCGCAAAUCAACAUUUAUAGCAGUUUUCUAUGUGCUUUGUCAAACAAUAGAUGGAUGAGAGAUAACAUAUCUAAAUCACCUUGGACGAACUCGGGGAAUGGACAUAGCAUGGAGUGCAAUAGGACAAUACUAACUUUAAGGAGUGCUUACAAUGGCAGGGUUUAGUUUUUGGAUUAGGGCCAUAUGUAGUAAUGAUAUGCACCAAGUCUCGAAGGUAGAAUGUAGUCUCCAUUCCAUGUUAGAUGAUAGGGAAAUCCACUAGUUAGGUCUCAAACUCUUUCCUCUUUCUAAGCCUUAGUGGUUCUGAGCAAGGUAGUAGUAAAGGUAGUAGUGAUAUUGAAAAGAGACCCAUCAUGCUCCCUUAGAUCAUGAUGUGAAUGAUCCCAAGUGUAGUUGUGAUAGUUGCCCUCUGCUAAGUGUAGAAGGGAACUAUUAGUUAGGUUGGAGGGUCAAGUGUCUAAGUAUGUUUCAUAUAGUUGUUUGUUUCAUGUUGUAGUGAUACAUGAAAAUCACAAGUGUACAAUGUAGUCAAGUAAUAAAUCAUUGUUUCACAUGAA